rnacentral:rRNA from 1 species
CUACGGGAGGCUGCAGUGGGGAAUAUUGCACAAUGGGGGGAACCCUGAUGCAGCAACGCCGCGUGGAGGAUGACGCAUUUCGGUGUGUAAACUCCUUUUAUAUGUCAAGAAAAUGACGGUAGCAUAUGAAUAAGCACCGGCUAACUCCGUGCCAGCAGCCGCGGUAAUACGGAGGGUGCAAGCGUUACUCGGAAUCACUGGGCGUAAAGGACGCGUAGGCGGGCUUGUAAGUCAGGUGUGAAAUCCUACAGCUUAACUGUAGAACUGCACUUGAAACUACGAGCCUAGAGUAUGGGAGGGGGAGAUGGAAUUAGUGGUGUAGGGGUAAAAUCCGUAGAUAUCACUAGGAAUACCUAAAGCGAAGGCGAUCUCCUGGAACAUUACUGACGCUAAGGCGUGAAAGCGUGGGGAGCAAACAGGAUUAGAUACCCUCGUAGUC